GUUGUAUAUAAAAAGUGUAUUACGUUAGAUCAUCCCAUAACCAUCUCCAAUACGAAGUGUGCAGCUUUACGGAUGGUUCAGAAGAUGCCUAGAGAUUACUAUUUUGUUUAUAGUAGUCCACAAUUCAACAUGUGUCAGCGUUACAGACCCUUUUGUGUUAUGUGAUCUGUAGAAUCCCAUGGAGAUUUCCUGAGCACACCCUAAAACUGACUUUGAGGAAGAGAUCUGAAAUGCUUUGGAAGGAGCUGCUAAUCGCCUCAAUGACCAGAUUAGAGGACAUAUACAUACCAUCUGUGUCAUAUUAGGUCUCAAGUAAAGUCUUGUUUAAAGUAA
rnacentral:lncRNA from 1 species